rnacentral:lncRNA from 1 species
GCCAAGCCUGGGGUUCCUGAAAUUUUCAAGUAUGAUCGAUUAUCUUUUGUGGAUGUGUGGGUUUUGCACUCCCAUCGAUGACCCCAGGUCAUCAGAUUACUGGGUGUGUGGGCCAUGGUACAACAUGGGCAUGGCGAGAUUGCUUACAAGAAAUACAGAAUCUUCGGCAUCACCCCAGGCCUGCUGCAUCAGAAUUCACCUUUUAAUGAAGACAGCAGGUGAUCGAUUCAUACUCAUGUUGAAGUUUGAGAAGCACUCUAAGAACAGUGGUUGACCAAGUGCGGUGCCUGGACCAGCGGCACCAACAGCACCUGAGAACUUGUGAGUAAUGUGAAUUCCUG